rfam:Verticillium longisporum isolate VL1 genome assembly, contig: scaffold_3927
UGACCUCGGAUCAGGUAGGAAUACCCGCUGAACUUAAGCAUAUCAAUAAGCGGAGGAAAAGAAACCAACAGGGAUUGCCUUAGUAACGGCGAGUGAAGCGGCAACAGCUCAAAUUUGAAAUCUGGCUCCUUCGGGGUCCGAGUUGUAAUUUGCAGAGGAUGCUUCGAGUUAUGGUUCCUUCCGAGUUCCCUGGAACGGGACGCCAUAGAGGGUGAGAGCCCCGUCUGGUAGGAAACCAUGCUCAUGUGAAGCUCCCUCGACGAGUCGAGUAGUUUGGNNNNNNNNNNNNNAAUGCUGCUCUAAGGGGAGGUAUACUCCUUCCAAGGCUAAAUACCGGCUAGAGACCGAUAGCGCACAAGUAGAGUGAUCGAAAGAUGAAAAGUACUUUGAAAAGAGAGUCAAACAGCACGUGAAAUUGUUAAAAGGGAAGCGCUCGCUACCAGACGUGGGUUCGGUGGUUCAACCAGGUCCAUGACCUGGGGCACUCCGCCGGCCCAGGCCAGCAUCAGCUUUCCGUCGGGGGCAAAGGCGUCGGGAAUGUGGCUCUCCUUCGGGGGAGUGUUAUAGCCCGUCGCGUCAUACUCUUCGGGGGGCUGAGGNUCUUCGGGGGGCUGAGGUACGCGCUCCGCAAGGAUGCUGGCGUAAUGGUAGCUAGUGACCCGUCUUGAAACACGGACCAAGGAGUCAACCUUAUGUGCGAGUGCCCGGGCGUAAAACCCCAGCGCGGAAUGAAAGUGAACGUAGGUGAGAGCUUCGGCGCAUCACCGACCGAUCCUGAUGUCCUCGGACGGAUUUGAGUGAGAGCAUAUAGGGUUGGACCCGAAAGAAGAUGAACUAUGCGUGUGUAGGGUGAAGCCAGAGGAAACUCUGGUGGAGGCUCGCAGCGGUUCUGACGUGCAAAUCGAUCGUCAAACAUGCGCAUGGGGGCGAAAGACUAAUCGAAUCUUCUGGUAGCUGGUUUCCGCCGAAGUUUCCCUCAGGAUAGCAGUGUUGAUCCCAGUUUUAUGAGGUAAAGCGAAUGAUUAGGGACUCGGGGGCGCUAUUUAGCCUUCAUCCAUUCUCAAACUUUAAAUAUGUAAGAAGUCCCCGUUACUUUAUUGAACGCGGACGCUGGAAUGAAACAACACUAGUGGGCCAUUUUUGGUAAGCAGAACUGGCGAUGCGGGAUGAACCGAACGCGAGGUUAAGGUGCCGGAGUGGACGCUCAUCAGACACCACAAAAGGUGUUAGUACAUCUUGACAGCAGGACGGUGGCCAUGGAAGUCGGAAUCCGCUAAGGACUGUGUAACAACUCACCUGCCGAAUGUACUAGCCCUGAAAAUGGAUGGCGCUCAAGCGUCCCACCCAUACCUCGCCCUCGGCGCGGGCUCGGCGCGUCGAGGAGUAGGCGGACGUGGAGGUCGGUGACGAAGCCUAGGACGUGAGUCCGGGUGGAACGGCCUCUAGUGCAGAUCUUGGUGGNNNNNNNNNNNNNNNNNNNNNCAAUGAGAACUUGAAGGACCGAAGUGGGGAAAGGUUCCAUGUGAACAGCGGUUGGACGUGGGUCAGUCGAUCCUAAGCUAUAGGGAAGUUCCGUUUCAAAGGGGCGCUUUUGCCCCGUAUAGCGAAAGGGAAGCUGGUUAAUAUUCCAGCACCUGGAUGUGGGUUUUGCGCGGCAACGCAACCGAACGCGGAGACGACGGCGGGGGCCCCGGGAAGAGUUCUCUUUUCUUCUUAACGAUCUAUCACCCUGGAAUCGGUUUGUCCGGAGAUAGGGUUCAACGGUCGGAAGAGCCCAGCGCUUCUGCUGGGUCCGGUGCGUCCUCGACGUCCCUUGAAAAUCCGCGGGAGGGAAUAAUUCUCACGCCAGGUCGUACUCAUAACCGCAGCAGGUCUCCAAGGUGAACAGCCUCUGGUUGAUAGAACAAUGUGGAUAA